AAUGGGGGAAACCCUGACGCAGCGACGCCGCGUGGGCGAUGAAGGUCUUCGGAUCGUAAAGCCCUGUCGGGAGGGAAGAAAUUGACGGUACCUCCAAAGGAAGCACCGGCUAACUCUGUGCCAGCAGCCGCGGUAAUACAGAGGGUGCAAGCGUUGCUCGGAAUUACUGGGCGUAAAGAGCGUGUAGGCGGUCAGGCAGGUCGGAUGUGAAAUCCCCGGGCUCAACCCGGGAACUGCAUCCGAUACCACCUGGCUAGAAUGCGGAAGAGAGAGGUGGAAUUCCCAGUGUAGAGGUGAAAUUCGUAGAGAUUGGGAGGAACACCAGUGGCGAAAGCGGCCUCUUGGUCCUGCAUUGACGCUGAGACGCGAAAGCGUGGGGAGCAAA
rnacentral:rRNA from 1 species